rnacentral:rRNA from 1 species
GACGAACGCUGGCGGCGUGCUUAACACAUGCAAGUCGAGCGGUAAGGCCCUUUCGGGGUACGACGAGCGGCGAACGGGUGAGUAACACGUGGGUGACCUGCCCUCCAGCUCUGGGAGUAAGCCUGGGAAACCGGGUCUAAUACUGGAUAUGACUCCAUGACGCAUGUUGUGGGGUGGAAAGCCUUGUGCGGCUGAGGAUGGGCCCGCGGCCUAUCAGCUUGUUGGUGGGGUGAUGGCCUACCAAGGCGACGACGGGUAGCCGGCCUGAGAGGGC